AAGUUUGUGGAAGCUAAUUAAAUACUUUUAUAAAAGCCAGUGUAUUCACCCAACAUUUGGAAAGAGAGGCACAUUAGGGGCAACUUGUUUUUACCCAAAUGUUUUCUUUCUGUGGAGGUAGCACUCCUUUGUGGUGCCGGGGAGAGCGGGAUGGCUUAUGCUGUUACAAAAAGCGCUAGGGAUGGCAAGGCAGGUUCACGGGAAGCCUUUGGAAGCCUUUCAGCCUGAUGGAGCUUUCAAACCAGCAGAUCUCUGAUGCUGCCGAGAUCCACAAUUACCCAGUUUGGAAGGGGAGUUGGGGUGCAGUGCCGGUGACUGAACGAGACCCGCAGGAAAGUCGGGAUAGAAAUUCGGGUUUUGAGCCCCUGCGGGUGUAUUGAUACUAUUUCAAUGUCGGGAAAAACACAAAACCCGGUUCCACGCGGUGCUUUAGUGGCUAAAAGUGAAAGAGCUGCCUUGGCAGAAUUGAGCUCUAUGAAUCACUUCGGAAAAUUGGUUCGACUGAAUGGCCUUAGGAGGAAAAACGUUUUAAUAGGAUCCAGGGGAGGUUCUGCUGUUUCAAUCUGCUCCUUAAACAGGUGGAGAUUGGACCUUCUCAAUUAUACAAACAGUAAGUACCCAUCAGCAGGGAGAGCUGCCCUCCGAAUCCUCCCCGCACGCAGCCCCUGAACCAGGCAGCAGAGCCGGGCUUUGCCUCAGAAACCCGAUCACAGAUCAGCGAUGCUGAUCGAUUAGGAUCUCAAACAGUCCUCCAGCUUGCUGUGCAGUCUCCCCCAGCCGCAGGCGGCGGGGGGGCCGGGGGGAGGGGGCGGCCGGAGAGGAGGAGGCGCACCUGCCGGGCACGCCGAGGCCCCGGGGAUGCGGGCGCACGGCCUUGCUCUUCCGGACGCUACGGGGUCGUCCUUGGGCGGCGGGAGCUCUCCCCCGACCUCCGACGCCAGCCCAGGCGAGCUCGUUGUUUUUGCAUAAAUUAAUAUUUCCCCAUUAACAAGUUUCCCCCCCCCCUCCAAACGCGGCGCCCGCGUCCAUGCGCCACAUCCUAAUGAGGUAAUUAUCAUUUGCGCGUGUUCGGGGCUGGCGCCGGCUCCGUGGGUAAAUGGCAGUUUAUUAGCACGAUGCCCAGCUCGGCUGCAGAGGGCUAAGGGAUAGUUCAGCGACUAGACGGACACCCGGGGGCCCUCUGGGGCGGCGCGUGCAGGACCCUCUGCCCUCCCCGCGUCCCUCAAACCUAUAGGCCCCCAAAGUUGUGAAUCACGCACAGAACUCUGCCUGGGUUUGGGCUCCCCCCACCUUCUUUCCACCGGCAAAACCAUCACGAUUCCUCCCCCUCCCCCCUCCCGUCUCUUCCCUCCUUCCCGAUUCGCGAACCGCUCGCACUUUCCCGAGGGGAGCGCGGGCGCCAGUUGCCUCCUUUUAAAGUUUGAGGGGCGGUGGCGGCGGCGGCCGGCAGGCGCGGGGGAACACAGGGGCCGCUACGGGAGCCGCGCCGCCGCCCAUGUCAUUCCACUUCAAGUGACUUCAUGUGAUGUCAGCUGAAUGUAAAAGACAGUGAUCUCACGCGGAGGGGAAGAUGUUUGCCAUCAAAAUG
rnacentral:lncRNA from 1 species